rnacentral:rRNA from 1 species
UACAGAGGUGCCAAGCGUUAGGCGGACUCACUGGGCUUAAAGCGCGUGUAGGCGGGUCGUUACGUGUCUUGUGAAAUCCCACGGCUCAACCGUGGAACUGCUGGGCAUACUGACGAUCUUGAGGCACUCAGGGGCUGUCGGAACAAAUGGUGGAGCGGUGAAAUGCGUAGAUAUCAUUUGGAACGCCAACGGUGAAAACAGACAGCUGGGGGUGUCCUGACGCUGAGACGCGAAAGCCAGGGGAGCGAACGGG